ACUCCUACGGGAGGCAGCAGUGGGGAAUAUUGCACAAUGGGGGAAACCCUGAUGCAGCCAUGCCGCGUGUGUGAAGAAGGCCUUCGGGUUGUAAAGCACUUUCAGUAGGGAGGAAGGUAGUGUAGUUAACACCUGCAUUAUUUGACGUUACCUACAGAAGAAGCACCGGCUAACUCCGUGCCAGCAGCCGCGGUAAUACGGAGGGUGCGAGCGUUAAUCGGAAUUACUGGGCGUAAAGCGCAUGCAGGCGGCCUGUUAAGUCAGAUGUGAAAAGCCCGGGGCUUAACCUCGGAAUUGCAUUUGAAACUGGCAGGCUAGAGUCUUGUAGAGGGGGGUAGAAUUUCAGGUGUAGCGGUGAAAUGCGUAGAGAUCUGAAGGAAUACCAGUGGCGAAGGCGGCCCCCU
rnacentral:rRNA from 1 species